GUAUCUGCCCAGCAACAGUAUAUAUACACACCAUGAUCAUGAAGGUGGUUUUCCCAGGGUGAGGCUCAUCCAUUGCACUGCGGAUGUGCUGACCCCUGCGAUUUCCCCAAAUGCAGGAAACUCGACUGCUUAAUUUGUGGUAGUGGGGGACUGCGUUUGCACUCUCCCCUG
rnacentral:snRNA from 1 species